AGGGCUCUUCAUUAAGGUGGGUGGAAUAAUAUAACAAUAGAACGCGUGUUGUUAUAGUAUUCCACCCUCCCUGAUGUCCCU
rnacentral:pre_miRNA from 11 species